GGUUCAGUCGGUUAGCGUCUCAGGCUGUGACCGGGACGUCGGGGGUUCAAACCCGGCUUG
rnacentral:tRNA from 1 species